rnacentral:lncRNA from 1 species
AAUUACCUUUCCAUUCUCUUUCCAUUUAAUUUUAUAACCUUUAGCAGCAACGAGUUUAUAUUAAAACGCGCUGCUACAAACAACAUAGCGGUAGCGCGGUUCUUCAUAGAUCGCUACUACUAUGUGUAGCCUAUGGGCUAAGUCGUGGGAAUUUUAGUAGUAACGUGUGUACAGCAAGACGCGCUGCUGCUAGAUCUUUAUCUGCAGCGCGGUUACCUCAGGCGCGCUACUGCUAAUUAGCACCAGCGUGCUUUUUUGACCCACGCUACUGCUAAAGUUCUGUGUAUAGGGUUUUCCCUAGUAGUGCAUCUUAACUGAGAGAACAUCAUCCCUACAACAUAAUUAAAACUAAAAGCAUCCAUCAUCAUCAUGAAACGGAACAUCGACAUUAUCAUUGCAGUAUAAUCACCACGCUCCCAUAUACUCAUCCAUUUAUCUUUUGAAUCUACAAGCAAGAAAACAAAAUGAAUUGUUAACACACAAUGCAUUGUCAUGAUGCAAGUAGCAAUUGAGGCAAGAUACUAGUCACGUACAAAGGUAGAAGCUCAUGCAAUCUUUGCUUUUUCUGCAUUACCAAGAGUAUUGCAGUUUUUGCGACUUCAUACCAAAUUUUCAGUUUGCACGAGUGCCAUAUUCAACAUGCACUGCGCAGAAUUAAUUUCUAAUUUCAGGACCAUCAAGUCUAAAUUUAGGAUCAGAACUUACCAUUGUAGCUAGAGCUACGCCCAUGUUAUGAUUUUUUAGGCUCUUCGAGAAUACUUUAGUUCUUGCCUGUUAGAGAAAAUAAAAGUUACCAUAUGAGAGGACAGAAAUAGAACAGGAGAACAUAUAAAAUGAAUUUGAGCACACUUACAAGUUGUUCAUUGGCAUCCAUCCAACUUAGCGAACCACUUCGAGCACUCUUAUUGCAUGCAUUAGCACCAUUUGUUGUUUUGGUGGUCUCGACAAUAGCCUGAUAGCAAAGAAGUAAUAACCAAAUAAACAAGCUAGCACUAUAGUUUGAACAAAAUUUGUAUGUGAUUAUGAAAAGAUACAAGCUUGUUUGGAACAGAAUAUUUUUGUCCCUGACAUGCACUAACAUUCUCAAGCAAAGUUUCUCUGUUUUGAAUAGGAUUCUGAUAGCAAGACAACCAGUAGAUACGCAACCAUUGGAGCAACAAAUUUUGAACAUAUUGUAUAUCGUAAUAGAAAUAUAUCUUUGUGCUGUAGAAUAUAUUUCCCCUUGCCGUGCACUGAAAUUCUUGUCCAUGACAUAUCUUCUGCAACAUGAUAAUGACCAUGUAAUAGACAAUAUUCCAUGAUCCUACUUGACCUUAAGAUAGUCUUUGCCACAGAUGUGAACACGAUUAAUUAAGAUUUCAGCUCAAGCAAUCAUAUUUUGAAGUAAUUUCUGCCCCUACAAUCAACAACAAUAACUCUGACCACAUUUACUCCUUAUCAAAUCAAAAUAGCAACUUAUUCAGUUCUAAGUAGGUACUAGGAAUACAUCAAGCAAUUCCUAUUUCAUAGUGAAAACGAUUAACUAAGACAUGAAACCGUUACUCUGAAAUGUAGUCUACUAUUCUGUUCAGAGUGUGUAUAAGAAAAGCAGCAAGUAACAAAAGAAAACUUCAUAUAGCAGCUCUUUCGAUGACCCCAUGUUUUUUUAGGAUUUUUCUUAGCUAGGAACAUUACUAUGAAUAAAGUGCAAUUGUCUUUCAAUACUAGUAGCUUAACUGUCAAUCUGUUUCAGUUGCUUAGAGAAGAUGAACUUGUACUUGUGUGCUAUGGUGCUUAACUUGGUGUUUGCUAGGGGGGAACAGAAGUUCAGGUAUAACACUAUCCACGGAUAGUAAGAGGACCAUAAGGUUAAGGAGGUUUCGUUCAUGCACAAGCAUUAUGGCUAGGCUGAUGAUAUGUUAUUUUCAAGUUGGAAUUGUGAGGAGAUCCCAUGGGCCAUGGCUGAGUGUGUUGCAGAGUAUACAUGUGUUUUCACUAUCGUGCACAUGGUUGUUCACUAACAUUUAUUUUUAGAACAAGUGUGUUGUUGUGUAGACUGGAUUGUAGUUGUGCUGCUGCAGAUCAUGUUCUGAUAUUCAUAGUAAAAUUAAUGUUUUAUUAGGUCAUGACUAGUCGACAAGAUACUUAGUGCAACUUGUCCAUAGGUACGACAAGGAUAACACUUUCUUCUAGUCACUCCAUCGUUUAUUUUCUACAAACGACACCCGGUCAGAUUAAAGUAUAAUAGCAAUAAGAAAAUAACAAGAUCACAAACGUCUGCAAACACAUGAAGAAGAAAAGAAACUAUGCUAGGUGUUCAACCGCAAAAUGUUAGGCAAGAACUAACCCAACUAUACUACCCAACUAGAAUAGGAUAGUCAGAAUUGGAGUUCCAUAAAGGUCUAUGAAGAAUUUGAACUCACCAACACCAAGGUAGUAAUGGUGCAGAACUAGAUUAAAAUAUUGUACGCAUCCACACCUGACACCCUAACAGUUACCAGAUUUAAGCCACCUCUUAUGUCCAGUAAACCUACGAACACCAAAACAAACAAGCGUCAGGGCACUAUAAUGAAUAAAACCUAAUAAGCUAAUGUCAAUCGAGUAGGGAAGGUGUAACCUUAUAGAAAAAGAAUCAGGAAACAACCCCCUCUAUCUGAAGGCCCCAAAAAUUUUAAACCAAUAACAGAGGACAACUAUCAAACACUUGGUGUGCACUAUCAAAUUCACACAAGAGGA